UGAAGAAUCACAUGUUUUAAUUCAAGAAUGAAAAUUGUCAGAUUUGAUAAUCAUUGGUUAGUUUCUCAAACUCCAUUUCGGUAAGUCGAAACCUUGUUGCGAUUUCGUGAACGUGUCAUUUACGUUUUGUGAAUAUAAUAUGCACAUUUGAAUCGAUGUAUUCCCCAACAUUGCUCACCCUCAAAUGUUCACAAUAAUCGCUCAAAGUUGUGAACUAUUUUUUCCUUGUACCUCUUAUUGCUUCCAACCAUUUGGUUCUAUAAAAUUUCCACCUUGACGCAGUCGAAGCACAAUCAUUUUCCACAACAUCCAUGAGACCAUUCAAUCGAUAUAACCAAGAAGUUUGCAUUAACAAGCCUAAUAUGAAAUGUUAUCGCACAAGUGUAUAUCCUAUAAGUUUGGGACCAAAGAUGCUAUUAUACCCAAAAGUUAAAACAGAAAAAAAGAGCAAAAGUUCUAAGCAUCGAGUCCACGACUACUAUAUAUGUAACUGUCUUCCUAAGUAUCGAUGUAUUGAAUACUUUUGGAAUAUUUUUUGACUAAUGUCCAUAGGCUUCAUUGAAGAUUUACAAGAGAAUAUGCAUUGCUAAAAGAAAGAGACCUGGUGAUUAACUAAAACGAAAAGGAAAGCACUAAGAUCUAGUAUUUUAUAUAUAGAUCAUCAAAACAAUUGUGUCAAGUAUGUAGGUUAAAAAAAAAGGGAAAAAAAAAAAGAAAAAAGAUAUCGCAGAUAAACCUUAAAAAAUAAUAAUAUUAAUUUUAGCCUUUUUUUUUUUUUUUGCCCCAAUUGAAUAUUAGGCUAUUACAUUUUUUAAAAUAUAUGCAAGAAAACGAUUGA
rnacentral:lncRNA from 1 species